rnacentral:lncRNA from 1 species
UUGGAUGUGCCAAAUAUCCUUUUAUGCUCUAUCUAGAUAGGUUGCCAUAUAUCGAAAAAUCAUUAAGUGUUCACAUUAUCAUCGCAUGUAAUAAAAUUUUUUUCUUACUAACUGAAUCAUAUGUUACAACACCAAUCUCCCAAAGUUCUCUCAAUUCAUCGAUUAAGGGUCGUAGAUAAACAUCAUCUCAUUACCAGGAGCUGU